rnacentral:snRNA from 1 species
AGCUUUGUACAGUGGCAGUAUCAUAGCCGAUGAGGUUUAUCCGAGGCGCAAUUAUUGCUAAUUAAAAACUUUUCCCAAUACCCCAACGUAAAGACUUGCAAUAUAAUCGGCAUUGGCAAUUUUAGACAGUCUCUACAGAGA